UACGAAGGGGGCUAGCGUUGCUCGGAAUCACUGGGCGUAAAGGGCGCGUAGGCGGAUACUUAAGCCAGAGGUGAAAGCCCAAGGCUCAACCUUGGAACUGCCUUUGAUACUGAGUAUCUUGAGACCGGUAGAGGUAAGUGGAACUGCGAGUGUAGAGGUGAAAUUCGUAGAUAUUCGCAAGAACACCAGUGGCGAAGGCGGCUUACUGGACCGGUUCUGACGCUGAGGCGCGAAAGCGUGGGGAG
rnacentral:rRNA from 1 species